AUCAGCCCUUCUAAAAUGGAGUUCUUGCACUGUUGAUUUGUUUUAACAGCAUGUUGGCCUAAUAAGUUUCGGCAGUAAUGUUGAAAUCACUGGCUUUUUUGCUUAGAAUCUGACAGUCUUGAUAUACAGAAUUUUGAGGUGACUUUUGUCCCCUCUUCAAUUUUGAUCUGAAAUCAGGUAGGAUUACCCGCUGAACUUAA
rnacentral:misc_RNA from 1 species